rnacentral:rRNA from 1 species
AAUUAUUAUAAUUUAUUUGUAUAAAUAUACACGAAUUAGGGUUGAGCUAAUUGUCAUUAUAUUAUAGAAUAUAAUAUUGAUUGUAUCACUAUUCAAUAAUUAUUGGCAAUUAGGGGUGAAAUAUGAUACAAAUCCUAUGAUAACUUGUAGUAUAAUAAAAAUAAGAGUAUUUAGACAACUAUAAAGUGUUUAGGCUGUAUAGGCGCAUAAUUUAUUAUAUAUAUACUAUAAAUUAUAUAACUAUAAUUAUACCUACAAAUUUAUUAAAAGUUAGAUAAAUAAUAUGUAUUAUAUUAUAUAAUAGAACAUAACCUAGAACUCUAAAUAUAAUGUAAUUAUUAGUAAACAAUAUAGAUUUUCUUUAGGAACUCGGCAAAAAUUUUUUCAACUGUUUACCAAAAACAUUGCCAUAUGAUCUAAUAUAUGGUUAAUCCUGCUCAAUGGUAAAUACCCAAAUAGCCGCAGUACCUUGACUGUGCAAAGGUAGCAUAAUAAAUUGGCUUAUAAUUGAAGUCUAGUAUGAAUGGGUUUAUGGAGAAGUGCUGUCUUUUUUAAAUUUAUUGAAAUUUAUUAAGAAGUGAAAAUGCUUCUAGUUAUAUAUUAGACGAGAAGACCCUAGAAAUUUUUUAAAUAACAUACUAUGAAUCUAUUUUGUUGGGGCGACAAGGUAACAAUUAACCUACCUAAAUAUACCAGAAUUUUAUAUAAAGCUUGAAUAAAUUACUCUAGGGAUAACAGCAUAAUAUAAUAAAGUUUGUGACCUCGAUGUUGGACUAGGAAAAUUAAUACCUAGAAGGUAUUAAUUAUGGCUCUGUUCGCGCUUAUACCUCCUACAUGAUCUGAGUUCAGACCGG